GGCGCAUGGUGCUCAGAGGCCUCGUCACCCUCAGCAACAGGCCCUCGAUGGCUGAAAGGAUGGGGAUCCUGCAGACAAGGCUCAUGAAUCUACUGGGGGAUGUAGACAGCGACGUGCUCAGGAUGACCCUCUUCUUACUCAGAAAGAUGCUCCAGGAGGCCAGCAGCCCACUUUGCCACACCAUUGCUCUGGAGCUGGCUGAGAGGCUCCAGCCACUCUUUGAGCACGACAACAGCCACGUGCAGCUGCUCUCCCUUCAACUCUUCCAUCACA